UGGGAUGUCGUCUAACGGUAGGACAGCGGACUCUGGAUCCGUACGUAGGGGUUCAAAUCCUCUCAUCCCAGCCA
rnacentral:tRNA from 1 species